GACGAACGCUGGCGGCGUGCUUAACACAUGCAAGUCGAACGGAAAGGCCCUGCUUUUGUGGGGUGCUCGAGUGGCGAACGGGUGAGUAACACGUGAGUAACCUGCCCUUGACUUUGGGAUAACUUCAGGAAACUGGGGCUAAUACCGGAUAGGAGCUCCUGCUGCAUGGUGGGGGUUGGAUAGUUUCGGCGGUUGGGGAUGGACUCGCGGCUUAUCAGCUUGUUGGUGGGGUAGUGGCUUACCAAGGCUUUGACGGGUAGCCGGCCUGAGAGGGUGACCGGGCACAUUAGGACUGAGAUACGGCGCAGAGUCCAACGUGAGGCAGCGGGGGGGAGUAUGGUACAAUGGGCGGAAGCCUGAUGCAGCAACGCCGCGGGCGGGAAGACGGCCUUCGGGUUGUAAACCGCUGUCGCUCGUGACGAAGCGUGAGUGACGGUAAUGGGUAAAGAAGCACCGGCUAACUACGUG
rnacentral:rRNA from 1 species